rnacentral:tRNA from 1 species
GCCGCCUUAGCUCAGUUGGUAGAGCUUCGGUUUUGUAAACCGACGGUCGCCGGUUCGAGUCCGGCAGGCGGCU